rnacentral:rRNA from 1 species
UAUUGGUCAAUGGCCGUAAGGCUGAACCAGCCAAGUCGCGUGAAGGAAGAAGGAUCUAUGGUUUGUAAACUUCUUUUAUAGGGGAAUAGAGGUAUCCACGUGUGGAUAUUUGCAUGUACCCUAUGAAAAAGCAUCGGCUAACUCCGUGCCAGCAGCCGCGGUAAUACGGAGGAUGCGAGCGUUAUCCGGAUUUAUUGGGUUUAAAGGGUGCGCAGGCGGUCGGUUAAGUCAGCGGUAAAAGCCCGGGGCUCAACCCCGGCCCGCCGUUGAAACUGGCAGUCUCGAGUUGGAGAGAAGUAUGCGGAAUGCGCGGUGUAGCGGUGAAAUGCAUAGAUAUCGCGCAGAACUCCGAUUGCGAAGGCAGCAUGCCGGCUCCACACUGACGCUGAGGCACGAAAGCGUGGGUAUCG